GACGAACGCUGGCGGCGUGCUUAACACAUGCAAGUCGAACGGAAAGGCCCUGCUUGCAGGGUGCUCGAGUGGCGAACGGGUGAGUAACACGUGGGUGAUCUGCCCCUUACUUUGGGAUAAGCCUGGGAAACUGGGUCUAAUACUGGAUAGGACCAUGCUGUAGGUGGUGUGGUGGAAAGAUUAGUUUCGGUAAGGGAUGAGCUCGCGGCCUAUCAGCUUGUUAGUGGGGUAAUGGCCUACCAAGGCGUCGACGGGUAGCCGGCCUGAGAGGGUGGACGGCCACAUUGGGACUGAGAUACGGCCCAGACUCCUACGGGAGGCAGCAGUGGGGAAUAUUGCACAAUGGGCGCAAGCCUGAUGCAGCGACGCCGCGUGGGGGAUGACGGCCUUCGGGUUGUAAACUCCUUUCAGCCAUGACGAAGCCCUUGUGGUGACGGUAGUGGUAGAAGAAGCACCGGCUAACUACGUG
rnacentral:rRNA from 1 species